rnacentral:rRNA from 1 species
GAUGAACGCUGUCAGAAUGCUUAACACAUGCAAGUCAACUUGAACUUCGGUUUGGGUGGCGGACGGGUGAGUAACGCGUAAAGAACUUGCCUCACAGUUGGGACAACAUUUGGAAACGAAUGCUAAUACCUGAUAUUAUGAUUUUAGGGCAUCCUAGAAUUAUGAAAGCUAUAUGCGCUGUGAGAGAGCUUUGCGUCCCA